AUCGAUGAAGAACGCAGCGAAAUGCGAUAAGUAAUGUGAAUUGCAGAAUUCAGUGAAUCAUCGAAUCUUUGAACGCACAUUGCGCCCCUUGGUAUUCCGAGGGGCAUGCCUGUUCGAGCGUCAUUACAACCCUCAAGCUCUGCUUGGUAUUGGGCAUCACCCGCAAGGGCGUGCCUUAAAAUCAGUGGCGGUGCCAUCUGGCUCUAAGCGUAGUAAUACUCCUCGCUAUAGUGUCUGGUGGUUACUUGCCAACAACCCCAAAUUUUCUAUGGUUGACCUCGGAUCAGGUAGGGAUACCCGCUGAACUUAAGCAUAUCAAUAAGCGGAGGAAAAGAAACCAACAGGGAUUACCUCAGUAACGGCGAGUGAAGCGGUAACAGCUCAAAUUUGAAAUCUGGCUCUUUUAGGGUCCGAGUUGUAAUUUGUAGAAGAUGCUUCGGGUGUGGUCCCGGUCUAAGUUCCUUGGAACAGGACGUCAUAGAGGGUGAGAAUCCCGUAUGUGACUGGGUACCUAUGCUCAUGUGAAGCUCUUUCGACGAGUCGAGUUGUUUGGGAAUGCAGCUCAAAAUGGGUGGUAAAUUUCAUCUAAAGCUAAAUAUUGGCCAGAGACCGAUAGCGCACAAGUAGAGUGAUCGAAAGAUGAAAAGCACUUUGGAAAGAGAGUUAAACAGUACGUGAAAUUGUUGAAAGGGAAGCGCUUGCAACCAGACUUGCACGUUGUUGAUCAUCCGAGAUUUUUCCCGGUGCACUCGAUUUCGUUCAGGCCAGCAUCGGUUUCAGUGGUUGGAUAAAGGCCUUGGGAAUGUAGCUUCUUUCGGGGAGUGUUAUAGCCCUCGGUGCAAUGCAGCCUACUGGGACCGAGGACCGCGCUUCGGCUAGGAUGCUGGCGUAAUGGUUGUAAGCGACCCGUCUUGAAACACGG
rnacentral:rRNA from 1 species